UACGGAGGGUGCGAGCGUUGUCCGGAAUCACUGGGCGUAAAGGCGCGUAGGCGGCCUGAUAAGUAGGGGGUGAAAUCCUGCGGCUUAACCGCAGGGCUGCCUUCUAAACUGUCAGGCUGGAGCACAGUAGAGGCAGGUGGAAUUCCCGGUGUAGCGGUGGAAUGCGUAGAGAUCGGGAAGAACAUCAGUGGCGAAGGCGGCCUGCUGGGCUGUUGCUGACGCUGAGGCGCGACAGCGUGGGGAGCAAACAGG
rnacentral:rRNA from 1 species